GUGGGGAAUAUUGCGCUAAUGCGCGAAAGCGUGACGCAGCGACGCCGCGUGGGGGAUGAAGGCCCUCGGGUCGUAAACCCCUUUCGGCAGGGACGAAGCGAAAGUGACGGUACCUGCAGAAGAAGUCCCGGCUAACUACGUGCCAGCAGCCGCGGUAACACGUAGGGGACGAGCGUUGUCCGGAUUCAUUGGGCGUAAAGCGCGCGUAGGCGGUCGUGCAAGUCGGUCGUGAAAUCCCGGGGCUCAACCCCGGGACUGCGUCCGAUACUGCACGACUGGAGGCAGGUAGGGGAGAUCGGAAUUCCUGGUGUAGCGGUGAAAUGCGCAGAUAUCAGGAGGAACACCGGUGGCGAAGGCGGAUCUCUGGGCCUUGCCUGACGCUGAGGCGCGAAAGCUAGGGGAGCGAACAGGAUUAGAUACCCUAGUAGUCC
rnacentral:rRNA from 1 species